rnacentral:RNase_P_RNA from 1 species
UAGACUAAAAAGAUAAUCGCUCUUUUGAGAGGAAAGUCCGGGCAACAUAGAGCGGGGUAGUCGCUAACGGCGACCGUUCGUAAGAAUAGGGAAAGUACCACAGAAACUUAUACCGCCUUUUAAGGCAAGGGUGAAAAGAGUGAGGUAAGAGCUCACAGUAGUGUAUAGCGAUAUACUCUAGGGGCAAACCCUACCCGUUGCAAGGAGCACUAUUAACCUUUGCUCGAGGAUGUGCGCUCACCGCUAGAGCCCCGUAGCAAUACGUGGCCAAGAUAGAUGAUUAUCAAUAUCCUUCCGGAUAUUACAGAACCCGGCUUACUGAUAGUCCUUCAA